GAAAACAAUCCACAGGAAAUAAGCCUCUCAGAUGGGAAUGAUAAGGGAGAGAGGAAGCAAUGAGGAAAGGAGCAGAAAGGAGAUGGGGGAGAAAAGAGCAGUCCACGUCAGCAAAGGAGAGCAGAAUCAGUGCGAACAGCAGCAAUGUGAGAAGGAGCUGCAGACGUUGGAAUCGCACCAUGCCAAGCAGAUGGGAACUCAGAAGCCAGGCAUGAUCCUUUGGGUCAGAAUAUCCAGCAUCCUGCUGGGGAACCACGUCACUGCUCUGCUGGAAGAAAGGAAAGGUUUGAACCACAAUAGAGCAGAACAUCGCUGAAAGCAAAUCUCUACCACCGAGUAUUUCAUCUUUGACAAACUGAUGCCAUGCCAUGAGGAUCAUCUCUUGGCAGGCGUUGUCCAACCCCAGCCAGCUCUUUGGUCUGUGACAGACGGAGGCAGGGACAACAGCUAAAGUGUACCUGCUUUACUGCAAAACAUAUGCUUUUUACAGUCUCCAGGAAAGCUACAGGUGACACGCUGGGAAGACAACCUCACGGUUCAGCAAAUUCACGUCAGCAGGUGCUGCAAGAUAAGUGUCAGUUUUGGCCAUGG